UACAGAGGGGGCAAGCGUUGUUCGGAAUUACUGGGCGUAAAGGGCGCGUAGGCGGCCCGCUAAGUCGAACGUGAAAUCCCCGAGCUCAACUCGGGAACUGCGUCCGAUACUGGCGGGCUUGAAUCCGGGAGAGGGAUGCGGAAUUCCAGGUGUAGCGGUGAAAUGCGUAGAUAUCUGGAGGAACACCGGUGGCGAAGGCGGCAUCCUGGACCAACACUGACGCUGAGGAGCGAAAGCCAGGGGAGCAAACGGG
rnacentral:rRNA from 1 species